rnacentral:rRNA from 1 species
GGCGAGCGGCGGACGGGUGAGUAAUGGCUGGGAACCUGCCCUGACGUGGGGGAUAACAGUUGGAAACGACUGCUAAUACCGCAUGAUGUCUACGGACCAAAGAGGAGGACCUUCGGGCUUCUCGCGUCGGGAUGGGCCCAGUUGGGAUUAGCUAGUUGGUGAGGUAAUGGCUCACCAAGGCGACGAUCCCUAGCUGGUUUGAGAGGAUGAUCAGCCACACUGGAACUGAGACACGGUCCAGACUCCUACGGGAGGCAGCAGUGGGGAAUAUUGCACAAUGGGCGCAAGCCUGAUGCAGCCAUGCCGCGUGUGUGAAGAAGGCCUUCGGGUUGUAAAGCACUUUCAGCAGUGAGGAAGGUGGUGUAGUUAAUACCUGCACCAUUUGACGUUAGCUGCAGAAGAAGCACCGGCUAACUCCGUGCCAGCAGCCGCGGUAAUACGGAGGGUGCGAGCGUUAAUCGGAAUUACUGGGCGUAAAGCGCAUGCAGGCGGUCUGUUAAGCAAGAUGUGAAAGCCCCGGGCUCAACCUGGGAACUGCAUUUUGAACUGGCAGGCU